GUAGGGAAUCUUGCGCAAUGGGUGAAAGCCUGACGCAGCCAUGCCGCGUGAAUGAUGAAGGUCUUAGGAUUGUAAAAUUCUUUCACCGGGGACGAUAAUGACGGUACCCGGAGAAGAAGCCCCGGCUAACUUCGUGCCAGCAGCCGCGGUAAUACGAAGGGGGCUAGCGUUGCUCGGAAUUACUGGGCGUAAAGGGAGCGUAGGCGGAUAGUUUAGUCAGAGGUGAAAGCCCAGGGCUCAACCUUGGAAUUGCCUUUGAUACUGGCUGUCUUGAGUACGGGAGAGGUGAGUGGAACUCCGAGUGUAGAGGUGAAAUUCGUAGAUAUUCGGAAGAACACCAGUGGCGAAGGCGACUCACUGGCCCGUUACUGACGCUGAGGCGCGAAAGCGUGGGGAGCAAACAGGAUUAGAAACCCUGGUAGUCC
rnacentral:rRNA from 1 species